AACGAACGCUGGCGGCAUGCCUAACACAUGCAAGUCGAACGAGACCUUCGGGUCUAGUGGCGCACGGGUGCGUAACGCGUGGGAAUCUGCCCUUGGGUUCGGGAUAACAGUUGGAAACGACUGCUAAUACCGGAUGAUGACUUCGGUCCAAAGAUUUAUCGCCCAGGGAUGAGCCCGCGUAGGAUUAGCUAGUUGGUGAGGUAAAGGCUCACCAAGGCGACGAUCCUUAGCUGGUCUGAGAGGAUGAUCAGCCACACUGGGACUGAGACACGGCCCAGACUCCUACGGGAGGCAGCAGUGGGGAAUAUUGGACAAUGGGCGAAAGCCUGAUCCAGCAAUGCCGCGUGAGUGAUGAAGGCCUUAGGGUUGUAAAGCUCCUUUACCCGGGAUGAUAAUGACAGUACCGGGAGAAGAAGCCCCGGCUAACUUCGUGCCAGCCGCCGCCGUAA
rnacentral:rRNA from 1 species